UGGCGAACGGGUGAGUAACACGUGGGUGAUCUGCCCUGCACUUCGGGAUAAGCCUGGGAAACUGGGUCUAAUACCGGAUAGGACGAUGGUUUGGAUGCCAUUGUGGAAAGUUUUUCGGUGUGGGAUGAGCUCGCGGCCUAUCAGCUUGUUGGUGUGGUAAUGGCCUACCAAGGCGACGACGGGUAGCCGGCCUGAGAGGGUGUACGGCCACAUUGGGACUGAGACACGGCCCAG
rnacentral:rRNA from 1 species